rnacentral:rRNA from 1 species
UACGUAGGGGGCAAGCGUUGUCCGGAUUUAUUGGGCGUAAAGAGCGUGUAGGCGGCCAUGCAGGUCCGUUGUGAAAACUCGAGGCUCAACCUCGAGACGCCGAUGGAAACCGCAUGGCUAGAGUCCGGAAGAGGAGAGUGGAAUUCCUGGUGUAGCGGUGAAAUGCGCAGAUAUCAGGAAGAACACCCGUGGCUAAGGCGGCUCUCUAGUACAGUACUGACGCUGAGACGCGAAAGCGUGGGGAGCGAACAGG